rnacentral:rRNA from 1 species
GGUUUUGCAGUGGGUACGGGCUAACUAGAGUGCAGUAGGGGAGACUGGAAUUCCUGGUGUAGCGGUGGAAUGCGCAGAUAUCAGGAGGAACACCGAUGGCGAAGGCAGGUCUCUGGGCUGUAACUGACGCUGAGAAGCGAAAGCAUGGGGAGCGAACAGGAUUAGAUACCCUGGUAGUCCAUGCCGUAAACGUUGGGCACUAGGUGUGGGGGACAUUCCACGUUUUCCGCGCCGUAGCUAACGCAUUAAGUGCCCCGCCUGGGGAGUACGGCCGCAAGGCUAAAACUCAAAGAAAUUGACGGGGGCCCGCACAAGCGGCGGAGCAUGCGGAUUAAUUCGAUGCAACGCGAAGAACCUUACCAAGGCUUGACAUAUACUGGACUGCGUCAGAGAUGGCGUUUCCCUUCGGGGCUGGUAUACAGGUGGUGCAUGGUUGUCGUCAGCUCGUGUCGUGAGAUGUUGGGUUAAGUCCCGCAACGAGCGCAACCCUCGUUCUAUGUUGCCAGCACGUGAUGGUGGGGACUCAUAGGAGACUGCCGGGGUCAACUCGGAGGAAGGUGGGGAUGACGUCAAAUCAUCAUGCCCCUUAUGUCUUGGGCUUCACGCAUGCUACAAUGGCCGGUACAGAGGGUUGCGAUACUGUGAGGUGGAGCUAAUCCCUAAAAGCCGGUCUCAGUUCGGAUUGGGGUCUGCAACUCGACCCCAUGAAGUCGGAGUCGCUAGUAAUCGCAGAUCAGCAACGCUGCGGUGAAUACGUUCCCGGGCCUUGUACA